UGGGGAAUAUUGGACAAUGGGCGAAAGCCUGAUCCAGCCAUGCCGCGUGUGUGAAGAAGGUCUUCGGAUUGUAAAGCACUUUAAGUUGGGAGGAAGGGCAGUUACCUAAUACGUAUCUGUUUUGACGUUACCGACAGAAUAAGCACCGGCUAACUCUGUGCCAGCAGCCGCGGUAAUACAGAGGGUGCAAGCGUUAAUCGGAAUUACUGGGCGUAAAGCGCGCGUAGGUGGUUUGUUAAGUUGGAUGUGAAAUCCCCGGGCUCAACCUGGGAACUGCAUUCAAAACUGACAAGCUAGAGUAUGGUAGAGGGUGGUGGAAUUUCCUGUGUAGCGGUGAAAUGCGUAGAUAUAGGAAGGAACACCAGUGGCGAAGGCGACCACCUGGACUGAUACUGACACUGAGGUACGAAAGCGUGGGGAGCAAACAGGAUUAGAUACCCCAGUAGUCCCUGAGCGGGCUGGCAAGGCGCAU
rnacentral:rRNA from 1 species